UACGUAGGGUGCAAGCGUUAAUCGGAAUUACUGGGCGUAAAGCGUGCGCAGGCGGUUGUGUAAGUCUGUCGUGAAAUCCCCGGGCUCAACCUGGGAAUUGCGAUGGAGACUGCACGGCUAGAGUGUGUCAGAGGGGGGUAGAAUUCCGGGUGUAGCGGUGGAAUGCGUAGAGAUCCGGAAGAACACCGGUGGCGAAGGCGGUUGGCUGGGCAGGUGCUGACACUGAGGCGCGACAGCGUGGGGAGCAAACAGG
rnacentral:rRNA from 1 species